UACGGAGGAUCCGAGCGUUAUCCGGAUUUAUUGGGUUUAAAGGGAGCGUAGGUGGAUUGUUAAGUCAGUUGUGAAAGUUUGCGGCUCAACCGUAAAAUUGCAGUUGAAACUGGGAGUCUUGAGUACAGUAGAGGUGGGCGGAAUUCGUGGUGUAGCGGUGAAAUGCUUAGAUAUCACGAAGAACUCCGAUUGCGAAGGCAGCUCACUAGACUGUUACUGACACUGAUGCUCGAAAGUGUGGGUAUCAAACAGG
rnacentral:rRNA from 1 species